CGAAGAAGCUCGCCAGUACUGCUUCUGACACGGCUGCCUGGGUUACUAACAUAGGUAACGAGCAGACAGGUCCUCAUCAGCGUCCUCAACUCCUCUGACGGCCUGUCCAGUAUGGCGGCCGGAUUGACGAGGCGGUACUGACUUGCCGAUGUACCCCCUCCCCAGCUGAUCUAAGUGGACUGUGACUGCUGCAAGAGACGGUGUGUCAAAGACAGCUGCCUUGUUUCAGGAGUGGGGACAGCUCAUGGUUCGACUGGACAUCUGGCACCUGAUGCGACGCUUUGCAGCAGGUGUCACCACCGAGAGCCACAAGCUUUACCCCCACCCCUUCAUGAGGCAGCUGUCUCACUGCAUCUUCGAGGUGGACCCCAGAGAUUGCCGCCAUCUCACUGAGGCUAAGCGGUCCCAGCUGUAGGGGAAGCAUGGGAUGGUCAGCCUGACUGACGCCGAGGAUCUCCAGGGAUGAGUGGAGGCUCCACUGUCGCCGCCGGACGCACUCCUCAUCCAGGACCUCAACACCUUUGGCGGUGCAGCAGGACACAACAACCUGGACAUCCCAUUGCUAGACGCUCCAGGACAUAUGGCGUAUGCAGAGGCGCCACCUCAGCUGCAUUCAGGACCCACCAGGCGUGCAGCUGAACACCCAAACUGGCAGGCUGACAAAGGGUCAGCCUGCUGGUUUAUCAUUGCACGAGGGACUCCACCUCAACCGGUUCAUCCCAGGUACGCGAGCUAGUGCCAAGCACUUCGAGGCAUUCCUGGUUGAUGGAAUGGUGAGGUGAAUGAGGACUGCGCAGGACUGAGUCCCCAGGAUCUCUCCAGAUCAUGGUCCCUCAUCUUCACGGACGUGGCCAUUAGAGAGGCAGUGCUGGCCAGCCCGAGGUUGAUGGCUCAGACCGAAAUUCAGCUCUUUAAGCUGAACCAGUGGACCCUGUCCCAGUGGUUCUCUCGACACCAGAAAGAGGGGGAGGGCUGUGCUGGAGUAGGGAAUUGGCGUUGUCCCUGCUGCAGCUGUUGCUCUCCAGCCUCUCCCUCUAGUAAAAAGGCUGUUGUCUAUGCAGGUGGGACAAGGACAGCCCUUUUCACUUUGAUGUCCCCGAGGAGCAGCCUGGACCGACCAGCAGGGGUCUGCUUCCUCCUCCUCCCACUCCAGAUGAGGAGCAGCCUGGCCCCUCAUGGUGGCCUUCUCCCUCCUCCAGCACAGCUCCCGGGUGACACGGUCACAUCUGCCCCUGCUGCUCAGCAUCCUCCUCUUCUUGCAGCCCACCAUGUGCCCAGGACUGCGGCAUACAGGAAGAGGAAGGCGGCCGAAGCUGUUGCGAGGGCACCAGCAGACGUCACAGUACACCUGCAGCAAGUGUGGCCAGCCCAAGAGGAUCGACACUGGCCUCACUCACAUUGCAGGUGUGUCCUACUGUGGAGGACUAGAGGGAGGAAAUGCAGGGGACUGAGGGACUUUUAAAUUAUUUUAUUUGUUUAUUUCAUACGUUAUUUUUAAAGGACAUUUUAUUUUUUCUUAAUACUUUUGUUGGAUGUAGAGUCGUGUUUGUCACCUCCGCAUGAAUGUCAGUCCAAUAUUCUCUCUCUGUUAGCUCUGUCUGGUCUCCAGCAGCUCCUGAGGGAAAUACUGCUAAAUGCUCAAAUAUGUUCUCCAGCUGGUCUGUCUGUCUGCUGCUGAGCAGGUAGUGUACAGUGGCUUUUUACAAAUUAUUUAAAAUAAACUUUCUGCACUUUGUUUGGAAGCUUUAUUGUUUUCUGAUGCAUUACUCAACUUCUGACAGUUAAACAUGACUUAACUGUAAGGGUUCAAAGGUCAAAAUUGUCUAGUGAGUACUCAAAUGUGCAACAUAACUAAACAAGCAUGGCAGCAGUUGUUAACAUUAAUAACAGAACUCAGUUGAAUCUAUCAGCUCAUGUGAAUUAGAACAAAAUACACCAUUAAAUCUUGUUGUUAAAACUUUAAUGCUAAAAUUGUGUUAUCACUCUAUAAUUGAUAAAUACACUCUGAUGAAGCCUGUAUAUACUUUUCAAUUUCUCAGGAUUGUCAGCUUCUGGCUGAGUUCGUCAUGGUCCUCGUUAGGACUCCGGUGCUGCAGCUGGAUGUAGCGACUUCUUUAAUCGGGUAUCAGCAAUUUAAGUUCGCUAAUAAAGUUUCCUCCUUUAUGAAU